rnacentral:rRNA from 1 species
UUAAGCGACUAAGCGUACACGGUGGAUGCCCUGGCAGUCAGAGGCGAUGAAGGACGUGCUAAUCUGCGAAAAGCGUCGGUAAGGUGAUAUGAACCGUUAUAACCGGCGAUGUCCGAAUGGGGAAACCCAGUGCAAUUCGUUGCACUAUCGUUAACUGAAUACAUAGGUUAACGAGGCGAACCGGGGGAACUGAAACAUCUAAGUACCCCGAGGAAAAGAAAUCAACCGAGAUUCCCCCAGUAGCGGCGAGCGAACGGGGAGCAGCCCAGAGUCUGAAUCAGCUUGUGUGUUAGUGGAACGGUCUGGAAAGUCCGACGGUACAGGGUGAUAGUCCCGUACACCAAAAUGCACAGGCUGUGAACUCGAAGAGUAGGGCGGGACACGUGGUAUCCUGUCUGAAUAUGGGGGGACCAUCCUCCAAGGCUAAAUACUCCUGACUGACCGAUAGUGAACCAGUACCGUGAGGGAAAGGCGAAAAGAACCCCGGCGAGGGGAGUGAAAAAGAACCUGAAACCGUGUACGUACAAGCAGUGGGAGCACCUUCGGGUGUGACUGCGUACCUUUUGUAUAAUGGGUCAGCGACUUAUAUUCUGUAGCAAGGUUAACCGUAUAGGGGAGCCGCAGGGAAACCGAGUCUUAACUGGGCGUUAAGUUGCAGGGUAUAGACCCGAAACCCGGUGAUCUAGCCAUGGGCAGGUUGAAGGUUGGGUAACACUAACUGGAGGACCGAACCGACUAAUGUUGAAAAAUUAGCGGAUGACUUGUGGCUGGGGGUGAAAGGCCAAUCAAACCGGGAGAUAGCUGGUUCUCCCCGAAAGCUAUUUAGGUAGCGCCUCGUGAACUCAUCUUCGGGGGUAGAGCACUGUUUCGGCUAGGGGGUCAUCCCGACUUACCAACCCGAUGCAAACUACGAAUACCGAAGAAUGUUAUCACGGGAGACACACGGCGGGUGCUAACGUCCGUCGUGAAGAGGGAAACAACCCAGACCGCCAGCUAAGGUCCCAAAGUCAUGGUUAAGUGGGAAACGAUGUGGGAAGGCACAGACAGCCAGGAUGUUGGCUUAGAAGCAGCCAUCAUUUAAAGAAAGCGUAAUAGCUCACUGGUCGAGUCGGCCUGCGCGGAAGAUGUAACGGGGCUAAACCAUGCACCGAAGCUGCGGCAGCGACACUAUGUGUUGUUGGGUAGGGGAGCGUUCUGUAAGCCUGCGAAGGUGUGCUGUGAGGCAUGCUGGAGGUAUCAGAAGUGCGAAUGCUGACAUAAGUAACGAUAAAGCGGGUGAAAAGCCCGCUCGCCGGAAGACCAAGGGUUCCUGUCCAACGUUAAUCGGGGCAGGGUGAGUCGACCCCUAAGGCGAGGCCGAAAGGCGUAGUCGAUGGGAAACAGGUUAAUAUUCCUGUACUUGGUGUUACUGCGAAGGGGGGACGGAGAAGGCUAUGUUAGCCGGGCGACGGUUGUCCCGGUUUAAGCAUGUAGGCUGAUUGUCCAGGCAAAUCCGGAUAAUCAAGGCUGAGGUGUGAUGACGAGGCACUACGGUGCUGAAGUAACAAAUGCCCUGCUUCCAGGAAAAGCCUCUAAGCAUCAGGUAACAUCAAAUCGUACCCCAAACCGACACAGGUGGUCAGGUAGAGAAUACCAAGGCGCUUGAGAGAACUCGGGUGAAGGAACUAGGCAAAAUGGUGCCGUAACUUCGGGAGAAGGCACGCUGGUGUGUAGGUGAAGCCCCUGCGGGUGGAGCUGAGACCAGUCGAAGAUACCAGCUGGCUGCAACUGUUUAUUAAAAACACAGCACUGUGCAAACACGAAAGUGGACGUAUACGGUGUGACGCCUGCCCGGUGCCGGAAGGUUAAUUGAUGGGGUUAUCCGUAAGGAGAAGCUCUUGAUCGAAGCCCCGGUAAACGGCGGCCGUAACUAUAACGGUCCUAAGGUAGCGAAAUUCCUUGUCGGGUAAGUUCCGACCUGCACGAAUGGCGUAAUGAUGGCCAGGCUGUCUCCACCCGAGACUCAGUGAAAUUGAACUCGCUGUGAAGAUGCAGUGUACCCGCGGCAAGACGGAAAGACCCCGUGAACCUUUACUAUAGCUUGACACUGAACAUUGAGCCUUGAUGUGUAGGAUAGGUGGGAGGCUUUGAAGCGUGGACGCCAGUCUGCGUGGAGCCAACCUUGAAAUACCACCCUUUAAUGUUUGAUGUUCUAACGUUGGCCCCUGACCGGGGUUGCGGACAGUGUCUGGUGGGUAGUUUGACUGGGGCGGUCUCCUCCCAAAGCGUAACGGAGGAGCACGAAGGUUAGCUAAUCCUGGUCGGACAUCAGGAGGUUAGUGCAAUGGCAUAAGCUAGCUUGACUGCGAGCGUGACGGCGCGAGCAGGUGCGAAAGCAGGUCAUAGUGAUCCGGUGGUUCUGAAUGGAAGGGCCAUCGCUCAACGGAUAAAAGGUACUCCGGGGAUAACAGGCUGAUACCGCCCAAGAGUUCAUAUCGACGGCGGUGUUUGGCACCUCGAUGUCGGCUCAUCACAUCCUGGGGCUGAAGUAGGUCCCAAGGGUAUGGCUGUUCGCCAUUUAAAGUGGUACGCGAGCUGGGUUUAGAACGUCGUGAGACAGUUCGGUCCCUAUCUGCCGUGGGCGCUGGAGAAUUGAGGGGGGCUGCUCCUAGUACGAGAGGACCGGAGUGGACGCAUCACUGGUGUUCGGGUUGUCAUGCCAAUGGCACUGCCCGGUAGCUAAAUGCGGAAGAGAUAAGUGCUGAAAGCAUCUAAGCACGAAACUUGCCCCGAGAUGAGUUCUCCCUGAGACUUUAAGUCUCCUGAAGGAACGUUAAAGACGAUGACGUUGAUAGGCCGGGUGUGUAAGCGCAGCGAUGCGUUGAGCUAACCGGUACUAAUGAACCGUGAGGCUUAACCUU